GAUGAACGCUGGGGGCGUGCCUAAUACAUGCAAGUCGAGCGAACGGACGAGAAGCUUGCUUCUCUGAUGUUAGCGGCGGACGGGUGAGUAACACGUGGAUAACCUACCUAUAAGACUGGGAUAACUUCGGGAAACCGGAGCUAAUACCGGAUGAUAUUUUGAACCGCAUGGUUCAAAAGUGAAAGACGGUCUUGCUGUCACUUAUAGAUGGAUCCGCGCUGCAUUAGCUAGUUGGUAAGGUAACGGCUUACCAAGGCAACGAUGCAUGGCCGACCUGAGAGGGUGAUCGGCCACACUGGAACUGAGACACGGUCCAGACUCCUACGGGAGGCAGCAGUAGGGAAUCUUCCGCAAUGGGCGAAAGCCUGACGGAGCAACGCCGCGUGAGUGAUGAAGGUCUUCGGAUCGUAAAACUCUGUUAUUAGGGAAGAACAUAUGUGUAAGUAACUGUGCACAUCUUGACGGUACCUAAUCAGAAAGCCACGGCUAACUACGUG
rnacentral:rRNA from 1 species